CUCCAGUACUGCGUACAAUACGCCAAGUGAGGUCUCACCAGUGUUCUGUAAAAUGGUAUGAGCACUUCCCUCUUUCUACUGCUAAUACCUUUCCCUAUACAACCAAGCAUUCUGCUAGCAUUUCCUGCUGCUCCAUUACAUUGUCUGCCUACCUUUAAAUCAUCAGAAAAAAUCACCCCUAAAUCCCUUUCCUCAUAUGUUGAGGUUAGGACUCUAUCAAAUAUUC